rnacentral:rRNA from 1 species
GACGAACGCUGGCGGCGUGCCUAAUACAUGCAAGUAGAACGCUGAGGAGAGGAGCUUGCUCUUCUUGGAUGAGUUGCGAACGGGUGAGUAACGCGUAGGUAACCUGCCUUGUAGCGGGGGAUAACUAUUGGAAACGAUAGCUAAUACCGCAUAACAAUGGAUGACACAUGUCAUUUAUUUGAAAGGGGCAAUUGCUCCACUACAAGAUGGACCUGCGUUGUAUUAGCUAGUAGGUGAGGUAAUGGCUCACCUAGGCGACGAUACAUAGCCGACCUGAGAGGGUGAUCGGCCACACUGGGACUGAGACACGGCCCAGACUCCUACGGGAGGCAGCAGUAGGGAAUCUUCGGCAAUGGGGGCAACCCUGACCGAGCAACGCCGCGUGAGUGAAGAAGGUUUUCGGAUCGUAAAGCUCUGUUGUAAGUCAAGAGCGGGUGUGAGAGUGGAAAGUUCACACUGUGACGGUAGCUUACCAGAAAGGGACGGCUAACUACGUG